GACGAACGCUGGCGGCGUGCUUAACACAUGCAAGUCGAACGAUGAAGAAGAGCUUGCUCUUCGGAUUAGUGGCGAACGGGUGAGUAACACGUGACUAACCCGCCCCUUUCUCUGGGAUAACGCUCCGAAAGGAGUGCUAAUACCGGAUACUCACAUCGAGGCACCUGCCUUGAUGUGGAAAGUUUUUCGGAAAGGGAUGGAGUCGCGGCCUAUCGGCUUGUUGGGGAGGUAACGGCUCACCAAGGCGACGACGGGUAGCCGGCCUGAGAGGGGGACCGGCCACACUGGGACUGAGACACGGCCCAGACUCCUACGGGAGGCAGCAGUGGGGAAUAUUGCACAAUGGGCGAAAGCCUGAUGCAGCGACGCCGCGUGAGGGAUGAGGGUCUUCGGAUUGUAAACCUCUUUCAGUAGGGACGAAGCGAAAGUGACGGUACCUAAAGAAGAAGCACCGGCUAACUACGUGCCAGCAGCCGCCGUAA
rnacentral:rRNA from 1 species